CAAAUUUGAAGUCCUUCCCAGGGAGUGGCCCUGUUCAUCUUAUUCUCCAGCCAAAGCAGAAACAGCGCGAGAAGAAGAGAGACACAUCAGCAGCCAAAGGACUCGGGGGGAAGAGCGGAGGAAAAAUACACAAUAUGCUGCUCUUGGGACCCAAGGUGCUUCUGUGUCUCACUGCGUUCAUCAUCCCCUUUGAUUGGACACCACUAGGCGUCAAUGGUCAACGAGGAGAUGAUGUGACGCCAGUGACUCCAGAAGCAUUCACAGACGAUCCUAAUCUGGUGAAUGAGCCCUCUACAGAUGAAACAGUUCUGGCCGAUAUCAAGUCUUCCACAGAUGACCUGGGU